AUUUAUGAUGUGACGGCGUACCUUUUGUAUAAUGGGUCAGCGACUUAUAUUCUGUAGCAAGGUUAACCGAAUAGGGAGCCGUAGGGAAACCGAGUCUUAAUAGGGCGUCUAGUUGCAGGGUAUAGACCCGAAACCGAGUGAUCUAUCCAUGAGCAGGUUGAAAGUGACGUAACAGUUACCGGAGGACCGAACCCACUGUUUGAAAAGCCAGGGGAUGACUUGUGGAUAGGGGUGAAAGGCUAAUCAAACUCGGUGAUAGCUGGUUCUCCCCGAAAGCUAUUCAGGUAGCCGUACCUCGUGUAUCACUGCGUGGGGGUAGAGCACUUGUUUCGGCGUAGGGGGUCACUCCCGUAACUUACCAAACCGAUCGACAAACUCCGAAUACCAGACAAGUGUACAGCGAACGGGANACCACGACGGGUCGGGUGACCGUAACGGUCCGUACGUAAGGAAAAAACGGGAAACCAACCCGAGUACCCGUCAAGUACCGUUAAACGGGUACCCCAAAAAAGUUCCCGUAGGGUUAAACGUAGGGGAAAACCGUAGUUGGGUAGGGGAACGGUCUUACGAAGACCGAAGGUCGUUAAGGGGUAGGUUUUAGGACCUUUAAAGGGAACGCCGAAACGGUCCCCUAAAAAACCCCGUUUUAAAGGAAACGUCCGUUAAAGUACGCCUUACGAACCGUUAGGUACCGGAGGUUCCCCGGG
rnacentral:sRNA from 1 species